GCCAGACUCCUACGGGAGGCAGCAGUGGGGGAUAUUGCACAAUGGGGGGAACCCUGAUGCAGCGACGCCGCGUGGGUGAAGGAGCGUUUCGGCGCGUAAAGCCCUAUCGGCAGGGAAGAAGGAGGACGGUACCUGACUAAGAAGCCCCGGCUAACUACGUGCCAGCAGCCGCGGUAAUACGUAGGGGGCAAGCGUUAUCCGGAUUGACUGGGUGUAAAGGGGGCGCAGACGGCAGCGCAAGCCAGGAGUGAAAGCCCGGGGCCCAGCCCCGGGACUGCUCUUGGAACUGCGCGGCUGGAGUGCAGGAGGGGCAGGCGGAAUUCCUGGUGUAGCGGUGAAAUGCGUAGAUAUCAGGAGGAACACCGGUGGCGAAGGCGGCCUGCUGGACUGCGACUGACGUUGAGGCCCGAAAGCGUGGGGAGCAAACAGGAUUAGAUACCCCAGUAA
rnacentral:rRNA from 1 species